AAUUAGUAAAUUUAGUAUAAUUAAUUAAUUUUAUUUUUUGCAUUUUUUAUCCUUAUUUUAAUUGAUCAAAGUAUAGAAUUUUAAUUUAUCAACCCGGGUAAUUAAAUUUCCAGUUGAAAGAGUUGAUAGAGUUGCAGCAUUUUUAGAGAAAUAUCAAUGUGUAUCCUAAUAAGCUAUUAAUUGUUGGCGACAUAGCUCAUGUAUUAAAGUCUUCUGUCACAGUUGACUCAGCAAGAAUGAAGACAUUGAUACACUUUUGCAUUAUGAAAUACCCAAGUUGGCAGUUCCUUGCCCACUGCCACCCAAAUACAGGUAAGUAUGCAUGCAUACACAACCCUCAAAAUUAGUAAAACUAAAGUGAGUAAUAAAUUUUUGACCUUAAACUGUUUUAGGUUGGCACCAGAUUACAAUCGGCAAACAAAGCCAUUUUUACAAAGGUUUUACUAUAAAAGAUAAAAACGAGAUUUAAAAAAUCCUUAUCUGUACGUAACAGACGACAUACAAAAAGACUUUUCAGAUCAUUUAAAAAUCACUAAAAGAGAGAACCAUCGGUACUAUGGAGACGAAGUGAUUAUUAUGUGUGGCAAAAGACUAUUUUAUGAAGUUUUCUAUUUUCUGAAUUCGUGAUGGAACUUAUUAGAAAACACUUGUCAUGGACAUGGGAGGAGUAUUGCCGCUACAAGCAUGAACAAUAAUAAAACAUUCCAAAGAACAAUUUGUUAUUUCAACGAUUAGAUUUGUCGUAUAAAUGUAUAAAUGCUUUUUGAAUAUUCUUAUUAUAUAUCAUUCUAAUUUCAAAA